rnacentral:rRNA from 1 species
GACGAACGCUGGCGGCGUGCCUAAUACAUGCAAGUCGAACGCUCAGUUUAUACCGUUGCUUGCUACACCAUAGACUGUGAGUUGCGAACGGGUGAUUAACGCGUAGGUAACCUGCCUGGUAGCGGGUGAUAACUACUGGAAACGAUAGCUAAUACCGCAUAAUAUUAAUUAUUGCAUGAUAAUUAAUUGAAAGCUGCAAUUGCACCACUACCAGAUGGACCUGCGUUGUAUUAGCUAGUAGGUGGGGUAACGGCUCACCUAGGCGACGGUACAUAGCCGGCCUGAGAGGGUGAACGGCCACACUGGGACUGGAGCACGGGCCAAGAUUCUACGGGAGGGAGCAGUAGGGAAUCUUCGGAAAUGGACGAAAGUCUGAACGCACAACGGCGCGGGAGUGAAGGAGGGUUUCGGGUCGUAAAGGUCUGUUGUAAGGGAAGAACGGGUGUGAGAGUGGAAAGUUCACACUGUGACGGUAUCUUAACAGAAAGGGACGGCUAACUACGUG